UGCCAAGUACUCAAAGUCUUUCCAUCAGUUUCCCUCUGAGCCCCUCUUAAGAGAAAAAUGGCUACAUAAAGUAGAGAAGUUUUGUUCUCCAACGCAGCAGAUCGUCAGUCAGUACUCAACCAUUUGCAAUUUGCACUUUAAACCCACAGAUUUUAAGUUUGCAGCAAAUGGUAGUAAACGCUUGCAAAAAAAUGCAGUUCCAACAGUUUUUCAUGUAUAUUUAUUUACAUUUUAAACUUAACAGAAAUAAAAUUAUAGUUUUUAUAGGG